CUCUCCCAAGAUGGCAGCGAGGUGACCACACAGCCGGGGCGGAGGUGACCCUCGACCCGAGGGCAAGCAAGAGCAGAAUCGUCAGUCAGAAACAUCACCACCAAAGGCUAGAAUGUUGUCCUGCUGUUUCGUCACAAUUGAGAUGCCAGAUAAAGAAAUUCUGAGUUCAAACUACAAGGAACAGGCCAAACUUGGAAUCCGUCACUGCUAGAGGCUUGACUUGCAAACAUGUCCUAAUUGAUAAAGAUCCUGUAUCAAGAGAUGGAGAAAUGGAGGGAACGACAUUGAUUUGCCAGCCAAGCUCUGUGGACUAAAUCUGAGUCCUGGGAAAAGAAAGGAAGGCAUUCUUUCCAUUUCCUAGACACCCAUGGUUGUGGUUGUGCUGAAA